rnacentral:rRNA from 1 species
GAAGGAGGGGGCAAGCGUUGUUCGGAAUUACUGGGCGUAAAGAGCGCGUAGGCGGAUUAGUAAGUUGGGAGUGAAAGCCCGGGGUUUAACCUCGGAACUGCUUUCAAAACUGCUAGUCUUGAGUGAAGUAGGGGAUGAUGGAAUUCCUAGUCUAGAGGUGAAAUUCUUAGAUAUUAGGAGUAACACCGGUGGCGAAGGCGGUCAUCUGGACUUCAACUGACGCUGAGGCGCGAAAGCGUGGGGAGCAAACAGG